ensembl:snRNA U1 U1 spliceosomal RNA
AUGCUUGGCUGGCAGGGGAGAUUCCGUGACCACACAGGUGGUCCUCCCAUGGCAAGGCUCACCCAUUGCACUCUGCAUGCGCUGACCCCUGCCAUUCCCCCAAAUGUGGGCGACUUGACUGCACAAUUCAUGGUAGUGGGGGACUGUGUUCAUACUCUCCCCUC